ACGUCAGUACCUCUAUACCGGUUCGCUUAUGCGCUACCUGUCGAGAUAAAUUGGCAGUGUGGAUCCCCAUAAACCGCA